rnacentral:SRP_RNA from 1 species
GCCAGGCGCAGUGGUGGGCACCUGUAAUCCCAGCUACUUGGGGGACUAAGGCAGGAGAAUCGCUUGAACCCGGGAGGUGGAGGUUGCAGUGAGCCGAGAUCGUGCCAUUGCACUCCAGCCUGGGCAGCAGUGCGAGGCUCUGUCUCAAAAAAAUAAAAAUAAAAAACAAUUUUUUAAAAGGCUGAGGUGGGAGGAUCACUUGAGCCUAGAGAUUCUGGUUGACAGUGUGUUAUGCCAAUUGGGUGUUCCCACUAAUUGAGUGUUCAGCACCAAUGUGGUAACCUCCCAGGAGUGGGAGACCACCAGGUUGCCUAAGGAGGGGUGAACCGGAGCAAGUCAAAACUCCUGUGAUGACCAGUAGUGGGAUGUGGCCUGUGAAUAGCUACUGCACUCCAGCCUGGGCAACAUAGCAAGAUCUUAUCUCUU